UUGAAUAACACCGAAACCAUUAAGGUUUAUUCAUACAUCUAUAUAGAAGUGUCAAAUGGUCAUCUGACCAUGGGCUAAGCCCAGUCCACAACAUUAUGGACAGUCCAUGGUCGGCCCGUAAUGAAAACGGGCUAUAUGGUCUAAAGACCAAUUUUGUCCAUGGGUUUAAUGGGCUAGCCCACACGGUUUAUGGUUGGCCCAUCAAUUUUUUCAACACAUAAAUUUUUUUCUCUUCUCUCUCUUUCGGCAACGACGCUCUCUCUCCCGGCGACAAAGCUCUCUCUCGGCGACGACCAAGCUCGACCUCUCUCUCAACUCCUACUCCGGUUAGUUCUACUAGCUUGUGGGUUUGUCCAAAGUUCAAUUGUGAAUUUUGGAUAUGAGGAGAGCUAGCUAGCAAAUGGGCACUUUUCAGAUUUUGUUUAUGUUUCGCCAUUUCGAAUUUCAUUAUGAAUUGAAGCACAUCAAUAUGUAGAGACCCUUUGUGUUGUAAGUUCAUGCUUAAUUAUUCCAGAAGGCUAGUGAUUUAGUCAAGUUCAUGCUUUAUUUGUUUAUCACUGCUAAACGUGUGUAUGUCUUUAUUUGUUUCAGAAAUAUGGAAUUGGAUACUCAAAACUUGGUUGAUGAAGACAACUUUAAUCUUGAGGAUCAAGAAAUGGACCAUGAAGAUCCAGAAAUGGAUCAGAUACUACCUCAUGAAACUGCUUCUUCAGGGACAGCUGAGAGAGGUAAAAGUAGUGUAAGUAGAUUUCGUGCUGCAUGCUGGAAAAACUUCGAUAGAGGACAGAAAUAUCCUAAUGGGAAAACUGAGGUUACAUGCAAAUAUUGUGAGCAGACUUAUCACUUGAAUCUGAGACGAAAUGGUACUAAUACCAUGAAUCGUCAUAUGAGAUCUUGUGAGAAGACUCCUGGAAGUACACCUAGAAUUAGCAGAAAGGUGGAUAUGAUGGUCUUUAGAGAAAUGAUUGCAGUGGCUUUAGUUCAACAUAAUCUUCCAUAUUCGUUUGUCGAAUAUGAAAGAAUUAGAGAAGCCUUUACAUAUGCUAACCCUUAUAUAGAAUUUUGGAGCAGAAAUACUGCAGCUUCUGAUGUCUACAAGAUUUAUGAAAGAGAGAAAAUUAAGCUUAAGGAAAAGUUAGCUAUAAUCCCGGGUAGAAUAUGCUUAACAACAGAUUUGUGGAGAGCUUUAACUGUUGAAAGUUAUAUUUGCUUAACAGCUCAUUAUGUAGAUGUUGAUGGUGUUCUGAAAACGAAGAUCUUAUCUUUCUGUGCUUUCCCGCCUCCACAUUCUGGAGUAGCUAUAGCAAUGAAGCUUAGUGAGCUGUUGAAAGAUUGGGGAAUUGAGAAGAAAGUUUUUACUUUAACUGUAGAUAAUGCUUCUGCAAAUGAUACUAUGCAAAGCAUUUUAAAGCAUAAUGCUUCUGAAAAUGCAUUCUUAUACUUAGUGAGAAUUUUGUUUUGUUGGUCAUAUUUCAGGGGUUUUACUCUUACUUUUCUGAAAGAAAUGGAACUGGAAAAUCACCAUUAGAUAUGUACUUGGAAGAGCCUGUGUUAGAUAUGGUCUCUUUUAGAGAUAUGGAUGUUAUUGCAUAUUGGAAAAACAAUGUCUCGCGUUUUAAAGAAUUGUCAUCGAUGGCAUGUGAUAUCUUAAGCAUUCCGAUCACUACCGUGGCAUCGGAAUCAGCUUUUAGUAUAGGUAGUCGUGUGCUUAACAAAUAUAGAAGCUGCCUUUUACCUACUAAUGUGCAAGCCCUCCUAUGUACUAGAAACUGGUUUCGUGGAUUUCAAGAAGUUGGUAAUAUUCACAUCUUGAACUCGUUUAUAAUAGUAAACUUAUAUGGCUUUUGGACUGCAGCUUUUAGAUUAAUAGCUCGGUUUUUCUUAUUGAAGAAACUGAUGAGAUCCAAGGUCAAGAGGACACAAACACCACCCUUGCAUGAACGUUUCAAGACUGGGAAGAAACAAGUACAUGGUUGUUCUCUUAAGCUCUGAGCCUAUGGUUAUGUGUUUAUUAUUCUCAGUACAUGGCUGAUUUGAUGAUGUAUGUCUUUGACAGAUUGUUAUAGGUUGUGAUGGUAUCCGGUCUAAGGUUGCAACUUGGAUGACAGAUUUUGGUUUGGAAUUGAUUCUGGAUUUUGUCUCUUACUUAUAAUCAUUUGUGAUUGAUUACAUUGUGGAAAUGUUGUUUAAGCUUAUUGUUUUACCUAAGCUUAUUGAAGAUGGCCACUUCUGGUUUCCAAUUUCUAGAUGUUGGAGUAGUAUUGAAAUGGGUUUCUCUGUUAAAUCAUUCUCCAUGUAGCCAUUGUAGGCUUUUUUCUUUACUUGUAGGUGCAUAUAGAGAGUCUUAGAUGCGUGUUUGAGUUGUCACGGUUGAUUACAAGACUGGGAAGAACAGGUACAUGCAUGUUUGAUUUCAUGUUGAUGUUAUGGUUUUAUAAAUAGAGCUUUUGACGAGAUUGUGUGAAAAUGCAUUGUAUAUAAACAUCAUUGUAUGGGCUGGCCAUGGGCUGACCAUUGGACAAUGGUCUUUAAUGGUCUUGGACAAAUUUUUAGACCAUUGUCCAUUAAAGACCAACCAAUAAAACCCAUGAAAAAAAUGGUCCAAGUGGACAUGACCAAUGGGCUUUGGACAGCCCAAUUGACACUUCUACAUCUAUAUAAACUAAUCUGAUUUAUCAUCAUAAAACACUUCCAACGCCAUUUGGUCCUAUUCUUGCAAAACCUUUUACAAUCAUGAAUCAUGGUGUUUGAAAAUUGUCCAUCGUUUUUGCAAGAUACAAAGAAGAGGAUUCAGAUAACAUGAACAAUAUUAUUAAAACUAGGCCACAAGGUUGGGGUACAAUG
rnacentral:sRNA from 1 species